rnacentral:hammerhead_ribozyme from 1 species
UUCUAACUGAUGAGUCCCAAACACGACGAAAUGCGCAUCAAACUGGAU